rnacentral:rRNA from 1 species
UACGAAGGGGGCUAGCGUUGCUCGGAAUCACUGGGCGUAAAGCGCACGUAGGCGGAUUGCUAAGUCAGGGGUGAAAUCCUGGAGCUCAACUCCAGAACUGCCUUUGAUACUGGCGACCUUGAGUCCGGGAGAGGUGAGUGGAAUUCCGAGUGUAGAGGUGAAAUGCGUAGAGAUUAGGAAGAACACCAGUGGCGAAGGCGACUUACUGGACUGUAACUGACGCUGAGGCAUGAAAGCGUGGGGAGCAAACAGG